CAGCUGAAAGCUCUGAAGGAGACUGUGGAGCUUUACCUGUCUUCUGUUCUGCACAAUCAGCCUCCCAUAAUUAAUCUAAUCUCUUCAAAUGCAGCUGAGAAGCUGACUUCCUCAAAUACAAAGGGCUCCAAAGUUCCAUUUCAAGUGACAAGCACCAAGGUCUGGCAAAAUGUCUCAUUGGAGAAAGAGAAUUUUCACAUGGCCUUGAAAAAG